rnacentral:rRNA from 1 species
CCCCACUGCUAUCGGGAUGGGACUAAGACAUGCUAGUCGAGCGUCUCCAAGCUAUGGAAGAGACGCGGCACACAGCUCAGUAACACGUGGCUAACCUGCCCUUGGGACAAGGACAACUCCGGGAAACUGGAGCUAAUCCCUGAUAAGUGAGAACUCCUGGAAUGGAUUCUCGCUCAAAGGACGUUUAGACCAUGCUUCUAAGCGCCGCCCAAGGAUGGAGCCGCGACCGAUCAGGUAGUUGGCGAGGCAACGGCUCACCAAGCCUAUAACCGGUACGGGCCGUGAGAGCGGGAGCCCGGAGAUGGGCACUGAGACAAGGGCCCAGGCCCUACGGGGCGCAGCAGUUGCGAAAACUCCGCAAUGCGCGAAAGCGUGACGGGGCUACCCCGAGUGCCGCCCGUUGAGGGCGGCUUUUCCACGGUGUAAGGAGCCGUGGGAAUAAGGAGAGGGCAAGACUGGUGUCAGCCGCCGCGGUAAUACCAGCUCUCCGAGUGGUGGGGACGAUUAUUGGGCUUAAAGCGUUCGUAGCCGGCUUAACAAGUCUUCCGUUAAAUCCAACGAUCUAAUCGUUGGGCUGCGGGAGAUACUGUUGGGCUAGGAGGCGGGAGAAGCCGACGGUAUUCUCGGGGUAGGGGUGAAAUCCUGUAAUCCCGGGAGGACCACCAGUGGCGAAGGCGGUCGGCUAGAACGCGCUCGACGGUGAGGGACGAAAGCUGGGGGAGCGAACCGGAUUAGAAACCCGGGUAGUCCCAGCUGUAAACGAUGCGGGCUAGGUGUUGGGGUGGCCACGAGCCACUUCAGUGCCGCAUGGAAGCAAUUAAGCCCGCCGCCUGGGGAGUACGGCCGCAAGGCUGAAACUUAAAGGAAUUGGCGGGGGAGCACCACAAGGCGUGAAGCUUGCGGUUU